rnacentral:rRNA from 1 species
GACGAACGCUGGCGGCGUGCCUAACACAUGCAAGUCGAACGAAGCUUGACGAAUGAUUCUUCGGAUGAAUUCUGAUAUGACUGAGUGGCGGACGGGUGAGUAACGCGUGAGCAACCUGCCCUUCAGAGGGGGAUAGUGUCUGGAAACGGACAGUAAUACCGCAUAAUGUACAUUGAUGGCAUCUUCGAUGUACCAAAGCUUUUGCGCUGAAGGAUGGGCUCGCGUCUGAUUAGAUAGUUGGGUGGGUAAUGGCCUACCAAGUCGACGAUCAGGAGCCGGAAUGAGAGGUUGAGCGGCCACAUUGGGACUGGGAAACGGCCCAGACUCCUACGGGAGGCAGCAGUGGGUAAUAUUGCACAAGGGGCGCAAGCCUGAUGCAGCAACGCCGCGUGGAGGAAGACGGUUUUCGGAUUGUAAACUCCUGUUCUUAGUGAAGAAUAAUGACGGUAGCUAAGGAGCAAGCCACGGCUAACUACGUGCCAGCAGCCGCCGUAA